rnacentral:lncRNA from 1 species
AGCUGACUCUGUCUUUUUACCCUGAUUGGCAGCUGCGUCUGCCUUUUUGCCUUGGUUGGGGGACCCUUCUGCCUUUUUGCCUUCACUGGGGGACCCUUCUGCUUUUUUCCCCUGGUUUGUAAUACCCUCUACCUUUGUGCCCUGAUUAGCAACCGAAUCUGCCUUUUUGCCCUGGAUGGGAGCUCCCUCUCCUUUUUUGCCUUGGUUGGGACUCCUUUCUGCCUUUUUGCCCUGAGCCCCUUCUGUCUUUUUACCCUGAUUCUGGGCUCCCUCUCCUUUUUGGCCCUGGUUCUGGGCUCCCUCGGCCUUUUUGCCCUGGUUCUGAGCCCCCUCGGCCUUCUUGCCCUGGUUCUGGGCCCCCUCAGCCUUCUUGCCCUGGUUCUGGGCCCCCUCGGCCUUCUUGCCCUGGUUCUGGGCCCCCUCGGCCUUCUUGCCCUGGUUCUGGGCCCCCUCGGCCUUCUUGCCCUGGUUCUGGGCCCCCUCGGCCUUCUUGCCCUGGUUCUGGGCCCCCUCGGCCUUCUUGCCCUGGUUCUGGGCCCCUUCUACUUUUUUGCCCUGGUUCUGAGCCCCCUCGGCCUUUUUGCCCUGGUUCUGAGCCCCCUCAGCCUUCUUGCCCUGAUUCUGGGCCCCCUCGGCCUUCUUGCCCUGAUUCUGGGCCCCCUCGGCCUUCUUGCCCUGAUUCUGGGCCCCCUCGGCCUUCUUGCCCUGAUUCUGGGCCCCCUCGGCCUUCUUGCCCUGGUUCUGGGCCCCCUCUCCCUUUUUGCCCUGAUUCUGGGCCCCCUCUGCCUUUUUGCCCUGGUUCUGGGCCCCUUCUACCUUUUUGGCCUGGUUCUGAGCCCCCUCGGCCUUUCUGCCCUGGGUUGGGGCCCCCUCCACCUUUUUCCCCUGGUUUGGGGUUGUAUCUACCUUUUUACCCUGGUUCUGGGCCCCCUCCGCCUUUUUGCCUUGGUUUGGGGUUCCUUCUGCCUUUUUGCCUUGGUUUGGGGUUCCCUCUGCCUUUUUCCCUUGGUUUGGGGUUCCCUCUGUCUUUUUGCCCUGGUUUGGGGUUCCCUCUGCCUUUCUGCCCUGGUUUGGGGCUCCUUCAGCCUUUUUGCUUUGAUUCUGAGUCCCCUCCGCCUUUUUGCCCUGAGUAGUGCCAGUGGCUGGUGUGUUGCCCUUGGCA